AUCCGCUUGGAUGUCUGUGUAGUAGUUUUAUUUUUCUCCCUUUCAUAAACCCUACUCCCCCCUCCCCAUUCCCUCCCUUUUCACCUUAGACGAUCUUCUCUCUUCGGUAACUACGAUUCAAUUAGCUUAUUCGCAUAUGUGCUAGAAAGAGGAAGAAUUUUUCACGAAAGAUCAAGAUUUCUAUGCAGAGAAAUAACUCCAGCUAAAGCAGCCAAGCAACAAACAUCUACCGGGUGAUUUUCUCUUUUUGAGUACAAAUUCAAGUGAUAAAUCAUGGAACCAAUAAAGACUUCUUAGGGAAAAAAGUAAAGGUAGUCAACAAUCAGCUAAAGCGAAAAAGCAGUUGGGAAGCUACCCAUAUACUAAUUGGGCAGACAAGAUACAAGAACAAUACCAGAAUAUCAAAGAGAAUGCAGAAACUUACCCCUAUGUUUGGGGUUCCUUUAUAGUUAUGUAUGGGGGAUUUGGGCUUUGGUUUGCUUAUAGAUGGAGAAAGCUCCGUAAAAUCGAGAGUCGAGUUCGAGUCCUUCAAGAAAGACUCCGAAAAAUUAUCGAAGCUGAGGAGUCAGUAAGUUACUCAUUUGUUGCCACUAGUAAGGCGCCUCCAUCUUCUUAUAUAUCAACCAAGUAGAUAGUUGUUUUUACCAACACAAGUGACUACCUUUUUCUUUUGUGCUCAAUACUAAAUUGAAGUUGUCAACUAUAAGGAUAUCACUCCUUAUGUGAUGAUGCGUGAUCAUAAAGACAAAGUUGGCUAUGAGUUAACAGGCAUGUGAAGAAAACAAUAUCCCACUUAGUAAAAAUUGAUGUACAUUUCUUGGCA